AAGAUAAUAAUAGGUUCACCAACAUAGGCAUUAAAUAUUAUUCCAAUAGCACAAGAUAGUAAUAGGUUCACCAACAUAGGCAUAAAUAUUGUUCUCAUAGCACAACAUAAUAAAAGGUUCACCAACAAAGGCAUAAAUAUUGUUCUCAUAACACAAGAUAAUAAAAGGUUCACCAACAAAGGCAUAAAUAUUGUUCUCAUAGCACAACAUAAUAAAAGGUUCACCAACAAAGGCAUAAAUAUUGUUCUCAUAGCACAACAUAAUAAUAGGUUCACCAACAUAGGCAUAAAUAUUGUUCCCAUCGCUCCAAGAUAAUAAAAGGUUCACCAACAAAGGCAUAAAUAUUGUUCUCAUAGCACAACAUAAUAAUAGGUUCACCAACAUAGGCAUAAAUAUUGUUCCCAUCGCCCAAGAUAAGAUGUAACGAACUAGUUGCCAUACUUGAGGUCAAACCUCCUACGCAACCAACCCAUUCUAGAGUCGGAUGUCAUGUGCAAGAACAUUUCCCUUCGCUCUUUCUUCAGAAAGAGCUCAGUAGCAAUGAAGUGCUCAUCAGUGCCAUCUAUUGCGCCACAAGCACGAACUAAAUCCAUGGUAGAUGCAACAGAGGUGGUCUCAUCUUUCUGUAGGAAAGACUAAAAUGAUGUAUGCGAAGCAUGUGCAAUGGAACUAAUCUUUUUUAUCUCCUCUUGCAUCACUUGUGCAGUCUUUGGUUUCUUGUUCUUCUCCGGAAUCUUGACCCCAAGCCUCACUUUAGAUGCACUAGCUAUUGUCGGAGAUGCUUGCUCUUCGGUAUCAUCCUCCAAAUCAAGAUCGGUGAUUUCAUCAACAUUCAANNNN
rnacentral:lncRNA from 1 species